GAGUGAACCCAUUGUGUAAUUAUAUCUACCAGUACCAGUAACUAUCACCAGCUACAAUCCAAGCAGGAUUACUAGCUGGACCCUGCUCCUUGUGUUACGAAGGCAUCUUCUGCAAAUCUUCUGCAAAGAGUCUGCAUUGCUUGAUUUAUACAGUCAUUUGGAGGGCCUCCACACUUCUUUCUGUCCUCCCAGGAUGAGGUGUGGACAAUCCAUUCUCCCAGUGGGAAACUGA
rnacentral:lncRNA from 1 species